AAGCCCUUACCAUUUGGUCUGAUAGAUGUCACUCAGAUCAAACAGAAGGGACUGC
rnacentral:pre_miRNA from 1 species